rnacentral:rRNA from 1 species
AACGAACGCUGGCGGCAUGCCUAACACAUGCAAGUCGAACGAGAACUUCGGGUCUAGUGGCGCACGGGUGCGUAACGCGUGGGAACCUGCCCUUAGGUUCGGCAUAACUCCCCGAAAGGGGUGCUAAUACCGGAUAAUGUCUUCGGACCGAAGAUUUAUCGCCUUUGGAGGGGCCCGCGUUGGAUUAGCUAGUUGGUAGGGUAAAAGCCUACGAAGGCGACGAUCCAUAGCUGGUCUGAGAGGAUGAUCAGCCACACUGGGACUGAGACACGGCCCGGAAUCCUACGGAAGGCAGGAGUGGGGAACAUUGGAAAAUGGCGGAAAGGAUGAUCCAGCAAUGACGCGUGAGUGAUGAAGGCCUGAGGGUUGUAAAGCGCUUUUAACCGGGAUGAUAAUGACAGUACCGGGAGAAUAAGCGCCGGCUAACUCCGUG